rnacentral:rRNA from 2 species
UUUGGUUAAGUUAGAAAGGGCGCACGGUGGAUGCCUUGACACUAGGAGUCGAUGAAGGACGGGACUAACGCCGAUAUGCUUCGGGGAGCUGUAAGUAAGCUUUGAUCCGAAGAUUUCCGAAUGGGGAAACCCACCAUACGUAAUGGUAUGGUAUCCUUAUCUGAAUACAUAGGGUAAGGAAGACAGACCCAGGGAACUGAAACAUCUAAGUACCUGGAGGAAGAGAAAGCAAAUGCGAUUUCCUGAGUAGCGGCGAGCGAAACGGAACAUAGCCCAAACCAAGAGGCUUGCCUCUUGGGGUUGUAGGACAUUCUAUACGGAGUUACAAAGGAACGAGGUAGACGAAGCGACCUGGAAAGGUCCGUCGUAGAGGGUAACAACCCCGUAGUCGAAACUUCGUUCUCUCUUGAAUGUAUCCUGAGUACGGCGGAACACGUGAAAUUCCGUCGGAAUCUGGGAGGACCAUCUCCCAAGGCUAAAUACUCCCUAGUGAUCGAUAGUGAACCAGUACCGUGAGGGAAAGGUGAAAAGCACCCCGGAAGGGGAGUGAAAGAGAUCCUGAAACCGUGUGCCUACAAAUAGUCAGAGCCCGUUAACGGGUGAUGGCGUGCCUUUUGUAGAAUGAACCGGCGAGUUACGAUCCCGUGCGAGGUUAAGCUGAAGAGGCGGAGCCGCAGCGAAAGCGAGUCUGAAUAGGGCGUUUAGUACGUGGUCGUAGACCCGAAACCAGGUGAUCUACCCAUGUCCAGGGUGAAGUUCAGGUAACACUGAAUGGAGGCCCGAACCCACGCACGUUGAAAAGUGCGGGGAUGAGGUGUGGGUAGCGGAGAAAUUCCAAUCGAACCUGGAGAUAGCUGGUUCUCCCCGAAAUAGCUUUAGGGCUAGCCUUAAGUGUAAGAGUCUUGGAGGUAGAGCACUGAUUGGACUAGGGGUCCUCAUCGGAUUACCGAAUUCAGUCAAACUCCGAAUGCCAAUGACUUAUCCUUAGGAGUCAGACUGCGAGUGAUAAGAUCCGUAGUCAAAAGGGAAACAGCCCAGACCGCCAGCUAAGGUCCCAAAGUGUGUAUUAAGUGGAAAAGGAUGUGGAGUUGCUUAGACAACUAGGAUGUUGGCUUAGAAGCAGCCACCAUUUAAAGAGUGCGUAAUAGCUCACUAGUCGAGUGACUCUGCGCCGAAAAUGUACCGGGGCUAAAUACACCACCGAAGCUGCGGAUUGAUACCGAAUGGUAUCAGUGGUAGGGGAGCGUUCUAAGGACAGUGAAGUCAGACCGGAAGGACUGGUGGAGUGCUUAGAAGUGAGAAUGCCGGUAUGAGUAGCGAAAGACGGGUGAGAAUCCCGUCCACCGAAUGCCUAAGGUUUCCUGAGGAAGGCUCGUCCGCUCAGGGUUAGUCAGGACCUAAGCCGAGGCCGACAGGCGUAGGCGAUGGACAACAGGUUGAUAUUCCUGUACCACCUCUUUAUCGUUUGAGCAAUGGAGGGACGCAGAAGGAUAGAAGAAGCGUGCGAUUGGUUGUGCACGUCCAAGCAGUUAGGCUGAUAAGUAGGCAAAUCCGCUUAUC